AACGAACGCUGGCGGCAUGCCUAACACAUGCAAGUCGAACGAGACCUUCGGGUCUAUUGGCGCACGGGUGCGUAACGCGUGGGAACCUGCCCUUAGGUUCGGAAUAACUCCCCGAAAGGGGUGCUAAUACCGGAUAAUGUCUUCGGACCAAAGAUUUAUCGCCUUUGGAUGGGCCCGCGUUGGAUUAGCUAGUUGGUAGGGUAAAAGCCUACCAAGGCGACGAUCCAUAGCUGGUCUGAGAGGAUGAUCAGCCACACUGGGACUGAGACACGGCCCAGACUCCUACGGGAGGCAGCAGUGGGGAAUAUUGGACAAUGGGCGAAAGCCUGAUCCAGCAAUGCCGCGUGAGUGAUGAAGGCCUUAGGGUUGUAAAGCUCUUUUAACCGGGAUGAUAAUGACAGUACCGGGAGAAUAAGCUCCGGCUAACUCCGUG
rnacentral:rRNA from 1 species